CGGGGACAAAGAAGUUGAUAAAACUAAAGUCACACCUCGAAAUAUCCAUUGAGCGAGGUAAGCUCAAGCAACUGGGUUAGCCACAUCUGCUUUCACCGAAAACCUCUUCGCCAAGAUGAAGCUGGUCUGCUCGUGGAUACUAGUUUUUGCUUUGCUUUAUGGAUGCCUUGCCAAGGAGAACACUCAAGAAAGCUCCAACACUGAAGAUGAGAAGCUCGACAUCAAGCCGCGCGCAUAUUACCCCCCAUCAGAAUGCAGAUCGUACACAAUGUUACACGGAGCCGAUCGUGCAAUGGCCAAUACCGCACAAAAUGCCCUCCGCUGUGACAAGAAUGAGUUUCCAGGUAACCUGUGGUACCGUUUCACUGGACAAGCAGGCAAUGCUAUGCCAACAAGUUGUGUACUUGAAAAACGCUGUGGAACCCACGCGCCUGGGUGGAUGGUGGGAGCUCAUCCCACUGUAGCCCAAGGUAUGGUGACUCGCAAGGUGUGCUACCACUGGACUAAAAACUGCUGCAGAUGGAGCAACUACAUCAAAGUCAGGAACUGCGGUGCAUUCUACGUCUACCAGCUUCCCAAGACACCAGUGUGCUGGCUUCGCUACUGUGGCAACGGCAUUCCUCAACCACCUGAGUGCCGAAGAUACACUGUCUUCAACAGCUUUGACCGAGCGAUUGGCAAUACCGCACAGAAUAGCCUCAAGUGUGACCAGAGAGACCUUCCUGGUAAUCUCUGGUACCGCUUCCUCGGCGCAGCAGGAAAUGCCAUGCCAACAAGUUGUGUACCUGUAAAACGCUGUGGUACCCAUGCCCCUGGAUGGAUAGUCGGAUCUCAUCCCAGCCUUCGUUACAGCCUGGUGACACGCAAGGUGUGCUAUCACUGGAGUGGAAGCUGCUGCAGGUGGAGCAACUACAUCAAAGUCAGGAACUGUGGUGGAUUCUACGUCUACCAGCUACCCAAGACACCCGUCUGUUGGCUUCGCUACUGCGGCAAUCGGGUAUCGCUUCCACCUCCUCCUCCAGAGUGCCGAAGAUACACUGUCUUCAACAGCUUUGACCGAGCGAUUGGCAAUACCGCACAGAAUAGCCUCAAGUGUGACCAGAGAGACCUUCCGGGUAAUCUCUGGUACCGCUUCCUCGGCGCAGCAGGAAAUGCCAUGCCAACAAGUUGUGUACCUGUAAGACGCUGUGGCACCCAUGCCCCUGGAUGGAUGGUCGGAUCUCACCCCAGCCUUCGUUACAGCCUGGUGACACGCAAGGUGUGCUAUCACUGGAGUGGAAGCUGCUGCAGGUGGAGCAACAACAUCAAAGUCAGGAACUGUGGCGGAUUCUACGUCUACCAGCUACCCAAGACACCCGUCUGUUGGCUUCGCUACUGUGGCCGUGGCUACUAAAAAUGCAGAUCGUACACAAUGUUACACGGAGCCGAUCGUGCAAUGGCCAAUACCGCACAAAAUGCCCUCCGCUGUGACAAGAAUGAGUUUCCAGGUAACCUGUGGUACCGUUUCACUGGACAAGCAGGCAAUGCUAUGCCAACAAGUUGUGUACUUGAAAAACGCUGUGGAACCCACGCGCCUGGGUGGAUGGUGGGAGCUCAUCCCACUGUAGCCCAAGGUAUGGUGACUCGCAAGGUGUGCUACCACUGGACUAAAAACUGCUGCAGAUGGAGCAACUACAUCAAAGUCAGGAACUGCGGUGCAUUCUACGUCUACCAGCUUCCCAAGACACCAGUGUGCUGGCUUCGCUACUGUGGCAACGGCAUUCCUCAACCACCUGAGUGCCGAAGAUACACUGUCUUCAACAGCUUUGACCGAGCGAUUGGCAAUACCGCACAGAAUAGCCUCAAGUGUGACCAGAGAGACCUUCCUGGUAAUCUCUGGUACCGCUUCCUCGGCGCAGCAGGAAAUGCCAUGCCAACAAGUUGUGUACCUGUAAAACGCUGUGGUACCCAUGCCCCUGGAUGGAUAGUCGGAUCUCAUCCCAGCCUUCGUUACAGCCUGGUGACACGCAAGGUGUGCUAUCACUGGAGUGGAAGCUGCUGCAGGUGGAGCAACUACAUCAAAGUCAGGAACUGUGGUGGAUUCUACGUCUACCAGCUACCCAAGACACCCGUCUGUUGGCUUCGCUACUGCGGCAAUCGGGUAUCGCUUCCACCUCCUCCUCCAGAGUGCCGAAGAUACACUGUCUUCAACAGCUUUGACCGAGCGAUUGGCAAUACCGCACAGAAUAGCCUCAAGUGUGACCAGAGAGACCUUCCGGGUAAUCUCUGGUACCGCUUCCUCGGCGCAGCAGGAAAUGCCAUGCCAACAAGUUGUGUACCUGUAAGACGCUGUGGCACCCAUGCCCCUGGAUGGAUGGUCGGAUCUCACCCCAGCCUUCGUUACAGCCUGGUGACACGCAAGGUGUGCUAUCACUGGAGUGGAAGCUGCUGCAGGUGGAGCAACAACAUCAAAGUCAGGAACUGUGGCGGAUUCUACGUCUACCAGCUACCCAAGACACCCGUCUGUUGGCUUCGCUACUGUGGCCGUGGCUACUAAAGUAAUCAAAUAAAAUAUGCUUUGUCAACAACAGAAACGGAACGGAACGGAAAAUGAAGUCUGUAUAGCUGCUCUGAUGUUUCGACAUCAAGAGAUCUCUUCCAGAGUUGUGUUAUGUGGAACAGGGUCAUAGCAGCAUUGCUCGAAACUUGAACCACAGGAAAUUACCACUUAGUAUUUUUACAAUAAAUGAGCAUUUAAAAAUAAUGUUGUUGAUAACAUUUGCCACACCGAAUUUGUUUAGUGAUAACAGACAUCGCGAUACCUAAACACAAGUGCUUACGCUUCGCCUGACCUGCUCCUUGAAUUAUACCAAACAAAAGCAUAACUUUAUUUUCAAGCGCGAACACGGCAGAAUUUUUCAGGAUACUUAGAAUCAGAAUCAGAAUGAUUUAUUGUCCUUCAGUGUACCAACUCUGGCGCAUUUGAAUACAUGAACAAUAAAUGAUGAAGUAAUGAAAA